rnacentral:rRNA from 1 species
CCCUGAAAGUGGCGAACGGGUGAGUAACACGUAGGUGACCUACCUCGAAGAAGGGGAUAACCAUUGGAAACGGUGGCUAAUACCCUAUGGUUCUGGCGACUGUGGAGGUUGUCAGAUAAAAGCUCCGGCGCUUUGAGAGGGGCCUGCGUCCGAUUAGGUAGUUGGUGGGGUAAAGGCCUACCAAGCCGAUGAUCGGUAGCUGGUCUGAGAGGACGAUCAGUCACACGGGAACUGAGACACGGUCCCGACUCCUACGGGGGGCAGCAGUGAGGAAUAUUGCACAAUGGGGGCAACCCUGAUGCAGCAACGCCGCGUGGAGGAUGAAGGCCUUCGGGUCGUAAACUUCUUUUCUGGGGGAAGAGGAAGGACGGUACCCCAGGAAUAAGUCACGGCUAACUACGUGCCAGCAGCCGCGGUAAUACGUAGGUGGCAAGCGUUAUCCGGAAUUACUGGGCGUAAAGCGCGCGCAGGCGGUUAAAUAAGUCUGACGUGAAAGCUCCUGGCUUAACUGGGAGAGGUCGUUGGAAACUGUUUAGCUUGAGGCAGUGAGAGGGGUGCAGAAUUCCCGGUGUAGUGGUGGAAUGCGUAGAUAUCGGGAGGAAUACCAGUGGCGAAAGCGGCACCCUGGCACUGAACUGACGCUCAUGUGCGAAAGCGUGGGUAGCGAACGGGAUUAGAUACCCCGGUAGUCCACGCUGUA